GACGAACGCUGGCGGCGUGCUUAACACAUGCAAGUCGAACGGAAAGGCCCUGCUUUUGUGGGGUGCUCGAGUGGCGAACGGGUGAGUAACACGUGAGUAACCUGCCCUUGACUUUGGGAUAACUUCAGGAAACUGGGGCUAAUACCGGAUAGGAGCUCCUGCUGCAUGGUGGGGGUUGGAAAGUUUCGGCGGUUGGGGAUGGACUCGCGGCUUAUCAGCUUGUUGGUGGGGUAGUGGCUUACCAAGGCUUUGACGGGUAGCCGGCCUGAGAGGGUGACCGGCCACAUUGGACCUGAGGUACGGCCCGGCCUCCUACGGGGGGAAGCAGUGGGGAAUAUUGCAAAAUGGGCGGAAGCCUGAUGAAGCACCGCCGCGUGCGGGAUACGGCCUUCGGGUUGUAAACCGCUUUCGCCUGUGACGAAGCGUGAGUGACGGUAAUGGGUAAAGAAGCACCGGCUAACUACGUG
rnacentral:rRNA from 1 species